UACGUAGGGUGCGAGCGUUGUCCGGAAUUAUUGGGCGUAAAGGGCUCGUAGGCGGUUUGUCGCGUCGGGAGUGAAAACCUUGGGCUUAACUCAGGGCUUGCUUUCGAUACGGGCAGACUAGAGGUAUGCAGGGGAGAACGGAAUUCCUGGUGUAGCGGUGAAAUGCGCAGAUAUCAGGAGGAACACCGGUGGCGAAGGCGGUUCUCUGGGAAUGACCUGACGCUGAGGAGCGAAAGUGUGGGGAGCGAACAGG
rnacentral:rRNA from 1 species